AGAGUUUGAUCCUGGCUCAGAACGAACGCUGGCGGCAUGCCUAAAACAUGCAAGUCGAACGGGUGUAGCAAUACACCAGUGGCAGACGGGUGCGUAACACGUGGGAACCUGCCCAGAGGUUCGGAAUAGCUGCGGGAAACUGCAGGUAAUACCGAAUGUCGCCUGAGGGCUAAAGGAGCAAUCCGCCUUUGGAGGGGCCCGCGUCCGAUUAGCUAGUUGGUGAGGUAACGGCUCACCAAGGCUACGAUCGGUAGCUGGUCUGAGAGGAUGACCAGCCACACUGGAACUGAGAUACGGUCCAGACUCCUACGGGAGGCAGCAGUUGGGAAUAUUGGACAAUGGGGGAAACCCUGAUCCAGCAAUGCCGCGUGGGUGAUGAAGGCCUUCGGGUUGUAAAGCCCUUUUGGCGGGGACGAUGAUAACGGUACCCGCAGAAUAAGCCCCGGCUAACUUCGUGCCAGCAGCCGCGGUA
rnacentral:rRNA from 1 species